AUCCUAUGAUGAGGACAGGCGGUAACGCAUUCCUGCAGCCUUUCCCAAGCUUCAGAAAUGGUUUCAUCCCUCGUCGCCUAAAAGUUGGAUAUUCUUCCAUGAAGAGC
rfam:Oryza sativa (indica cultivar-group) chromosome 3, whole genome shotgun sequence.